UUGAUAGAAAAAAUUUAGCCAAGAAUAAGCAAAAAUAUUAACAAUAAACCAGAAAAAUAUUUACUGGAAGCCCCAAAGAAGUAAGGACAGAAUGUACUUUCUCU